UCUUGGUCAUUUAGAGGAAGUAAAAGUCGUAACAAGGUCUCCGUUGGUGAACCAGCGGAGGGAUCAUUACAGAGUUGCAAAACUCCCACAAACCAUCGCGAAUCUUACCCGUACGGUUGCCUCGGCGCUGGCGGUCCGGAAGGCCCUCGGGCCCCCGGACCCUCGGGUCUCCCGCUCGCGGGAGGCUGCCCGCCGGAGUGCCGAAACCAAACUCUUGAUAUUUUAUGUCUCUCUGAGUAAACUUUUAAAUAAGUCAAAACUUUCAACAACGGAUCUCUUGGUUCUGGCAUCGAUGAAGAACGCAGCGAAAUGCGAUAAGUAAUGUGAAUUGCAGAAUUCAGUGAAUCAUCGAAUCUUUGAACGCACAUUGCGCUCGCCAGUAUUCUGGCGAGCAUGCCUGUUCGAGCGUCAUUUCAACCAUCAAGCUCUGCUUGCGUUGGGGAUCCGCGGCUGCCCGCGGUCCCUCAAAAACAGUGGCGGGCUCGCUAGUCACACCGAGCGUAGUAACUCUACAUCGCUAUGGUCGUGCGGCGGGUUCUUGCCGUAAAACCCCCAAUUUCUAAGGUUGACCUCGGAUCAGGUAGGAAUACCCGCUGAACUUAAGCAUAUCAAUAA
rnacentral:rRNA from 2 species